rnacentral:rRNA from 1 species
UACGUAGGGGGCAAGCGUUGUCCGGAUUUAUUGGGCGUAAAGAGCGUGUAGGCGGUUUGGUAGGUCCGCUGUGAAAACUCGAGGCUCAACCUCGAGACGCCGGUGGAAACCAUCAGACUAGAGUCCGGAAGAGGAGAGUGGAAUUCCUGGUGUAGCGGUGAAAUGCGCAGAUAUCAGGAAGAACACCCGUGGCUAAGGCGGCUCUCUAGUACGGUACUGACGCUGAUACGCGAAAGCGUGGGGAGCAAACAGG